rnacentral:rRNA from 1 species
GGGAAAGUGGCGCACGGGUGCGUAACGCGUAUGCAACCUACCUCAAUCAGGGGGAUANCCCGAAGAAAUUCGGAUUAACACCGCAUAAAAUCACAGGAUAGCAUUAUCUAAUGAUCAAAUAUUUAUAGGAUUGAGAUGGGCAUGCGUGUCAUUAGUUAGUUGGCGAGGUAACGGCUCACCAAGACCACGAUGACUAGGGGAUCUGAGAGGAUGACCCCCCACACUGGUACUGAGACACGGACCAGACUCCUACGGGAGGCAGCAGUAAGGAAUAUUGGUCAAUGGAGGCAACUCUGAACCAGCCAUGCCGCGUGCAGGAAGACAGCCCUCUGGGUCGUAAACUGCUUUUAUUCGGGAAUAAACCUACUUACGUGUAAGUAGCUGAAUGUACCGAAGGAAUAAGGAUCGGCUAACUCCGUGCCAGCAGCCGCGGUAAUACGGAGGAUCCAAGCGUUAUCCGGAUUUAUUGGGUUUAAAGGGUGCGUAGGCGGCUUAUUAAGUCAGGGGUGAAAGACGGUGGCUCAACCAUCGCAGUGCCCUUGAUACUGAUGAGCUUGAAUACACUAGAGGUAGGCGGAAUGUGACAAGUAGCGGUGAAAUGCAUAGAUAUGUCACAGAACACCGAUUGCGAAGGCAGCUUACUAUGGUGUNAUUGACGCUGAGGCACGAAAGCGU